GGUAACUACUUCCAACAGAUUUGCAACAUCAAGUCCCAAACUACAAAAACUAGCACAAGUUAGGUGUAGAUAGCAACCCUGCCAUACUCAAUGAGCGUGUUUAACUUUUGAAAGGUUAUUUUCAAUUUUUUCUUCUGGAAAGCUGUGUCUUAAUAACUGAAAUCAUUCUCUUUUCAGAAUAUUGGAAAACCUGAAAAUUUUAAAACAGAAGUUAAGAAGAUAACCAUUUUGAGCCACAGUGCUGUAGAGGGACCAAUUCAUCUGAGCAGUUGUUCAACAAAGUAGUGGUACUUGGGAGAUAAUCAGAUAAUUCUAGUUUUACACAUCUAGGAGAGGCCAAAGAAAGAUGCUCUAGCGUGUUGGGGCUUCAUAGGUAGCAGUGAUCCUGACCCUAUUCGAGAUUAAUGUAGGAUCUUAUUUCAAAUGUUCACAGCAAGGAGUGGUGUAGGGAAAAAUAAAUAGGACAUGAUUUACAUAAAACAAUUGCAUGGAUGAAAAGAAACUUGAUAAAUCUAAUGAACUUAGAACAAAUGCAAUGUAUGCCUACAUUUGCUUGUCAAGUACAUAUGUAUGUCCUAAGCAAAGAAAUUAUGCAGAAAAUGGACUAAAUGUAUCUCAUGCGUGAUGGAGUCGGGAAUAUUACUCUCGCGGUCUCACCUCAUAGGUUCACCACGUCGAGAUGAUGGAGCAUGACAUGAGAAGAAGAAAAUGUUCCAUUUGAGGUGGUUCCAUUCCAAGACAUAAUGAAAAUUAUCUGCAGCUCUGAAAAGAAGCAGCGACUCAGAUGAGAACAUAUUCCCAGUUCAGCAUUUUUCACCAAACAACGAGCAAAAGGGAAGAGGAUCCAACAAAAAUUUACUUAACUGAGAUAAAUAAAAUAAGUUCUGCUAAAAUUGGUUUGAAUGUGUCCACUUAAUCUGCAUAGUUUAGAGAAGCACUUUUGCAGAUACUACUAAUAGAAUGAUUCGUCUCGGAAAUUUGAGCAAUGACUAACAAGCAAAAGGGAAGAGGACCCAACAAAAAUUUACUAAACUGAGAUAAAUAAAAUAAGUUCUGCUAAAUUUGGUUUGAAUGUGUCCACUUAAUCUGCAUAGUUUAGAGAAGCACUUUUGCAGAUAGUACUAAUAGAAUGAUUUGUCUCGGAAAUUUGAGCAAUGACAGGUCUACAGAAAAAUAACCAAGUCAUUUGAUACAAGAGAAUAGAGCUGAGGUAACAAGCUAGCUGAUCAUUUGGCAGACUUAGUCUUCAAUGCGGAUGGGGAACUAAUAAUCAAUUCAUUUGUGGAGCUGGACACCAAAGGAAGGGCAUUUUGAAUUUGGAUAAGCUACAGUGGCCAUCGUUGAGAACCAAGGCAGUGAAGGGAAGAAAACAAUGACAUUCUAUAACGUGAAGACUGAAGAGUUUCAUUAGCAUAUGGUGGCGCAUGAUGGGGCAAUGGUUCUAUUCUGUGGAAUCGGAUACUUCAAGGUGGAAAGCAGCUUGCACAAAAUGAAAUCGUUGGCAGUGUGGACACUUCAUUUCUUUCGAGCAUUUUAUUAUUUUGUUCGAUGUGAGUUCAUCUUAGAAUAUUAAAUACAUGCAAAGAUGACAUUAGAUAGUUUCAUUAUUUCAUUAGACAUGGUUUGUUUUCAUUGUAAUAGUGUACACUCGUCCUGCACUCAAGUUGGAAUCUUUAUAAUUACUCAAAUUAGCCACUAGGUAACCUCCCUAGUGGUAGAUUAGCUUUAAAAAAGAGAGUCAAGGCUGAGGAAGUCUGUAAACUAUAGUUUAUUGUGUAUUAAGCUAAUAAAAGCAGUUCUCUCUCUAUCUAUCUCAUCGUAUUCGUUUGGUGAUUAAGCUUAGAAAAGGUAAAACAUAUGGCAAAAAAUUUGGGGCGGUUUAAAAUGGGUGAAGUAGAAGAAUCGGUCAUAACCUUAUCUUCCCGUAAGCAUAUUCAUUUAGUCUUUCCUGGACAACGGGAUCACCUUUGAAUUACAAUGUUAAUAGCUAAAAUUAGGAAGCUUUUUUCUUUUAGAGCAAUGCAAUGCAAUACAGUGAUACCAAACUCUCAAUAAAGAAAACAGAGAUCCCUUACUCCAGCAAUAGUAGUAUAGUGCAAUCCGUGUAACAGCGGAUACAGAAAUUCUUUUGAAUAUAUUUAAAAUCCAACUUAGCAGAAGCUUUAUACCAUUAAUCAAUAAACCAACAAGAAUGAGCUAUAAAAUUGCUUACCGUAUCAAAUAUCAAUUCGGCAGAAUUGGAUUGCAUAACUACUACAAUCUAACAUAUCAAAAUAAAUUGAGAAAAUAAAUGAAAUAAGUACCUUAAUAUGUCACGGAUAUGCUGUCAAUUUCGUGGAAGGUAAUCACAACGACGGAGGAAUAGCGGGCACAAACAAAGGCCCUCAAAUUGUUGAUCGUGCCUGU
rnacentral:lncRNA from 1 species